rnacentral:rRNA from 1 species
UACGGAGGGUGCGAGCGUUGUCCGGAUUCAUUGGGCGUAAAGAGCUCGUAGGCGGUUCAGCAAGUCGGGUGUGAAACCUCCAGGCUCAACCUGGAGACGCCACCCGAUACUGCUGUGACUUGAGUCCGGUAGGGGACCACGGAAUUCCUGGUGUAGCGGUGAAAUGCGCAGAUAUCAGGAGGAACACCGGUGGCGAAGGCGGUGGUCUGGGCCGGUACUGACGCUGAGGAGCGAAAGCGUGGGGAGCGAACAGG